AAACGUGGCCAGGAUGGGGUGCGCUACCCAAUCACAGGGGGAGCCGCCGGCUGAUUGACGGCUGUCAGGCGCCAGCCGGCCAAUCGCGGUGUCCCUUUGUGCGAGGUGUGGGCGGGAUUACCUGCCUCAAGGGUUUUUUCAAUACCUACUUUGGUGCGAUCUCAGUCAGGCACUCCUGAUUGGCUCAGCGCGUCCGCCCUCGCUGCUGCAGCAGCAGCAGGAAGCGCUGUGCGGCUCUCCCCGGCGGCACCAGCACCAGCAGCAGCAGCGUUCGCGUCCCCGCUUCAGUCAGAGCCGAGACUGGCUGAGACAAUGCACGGUUUGUCCUCGGGACGAGGCUGACAAACGCCGCUGCUGGAGGCGGGAGGGGAAGAGGGGAGAGGCUGCGGCUCCGUGUUUGUUGCAGCGCUGGUGAAUUAAAUGAUACCAAAAUACUAUAUUCUAAACGUUAUGGGCAGUGAAGCUUAGGGGUUUUGUAAUCAGAUUACAGAAGCACCUGCUGAUGUUAAUUAAUUUACAGGAUGUUCGGUUUCA